rnacentral:rRNA from 1 species
GACGUAGGGCGCGAGCGUUGUCCGGAUUUAUUGGGCGUAAAGAGCUCGUAGGCGGCUUGUUGCGUCGACCGUGAAAACCCGGGGCUCAACUUCGGGCUUGCGGUCGAUACGGGCGGGCUAGAGUUCGGUAGGGGAGACUGGAAUUCCUGGUGUAGCGGUGAAAUGCGCAGAUAUCAAGAGGAACACCUGAGGUGAAGACGGGUUGCUGGGCUGACACUGACGCUGAUGCGCGAAAGCUAGGGGAGCAAACGGG